CGGCAAAAGCUCAAAUUUGAAAUCCCCCCGGGGAGUUGUAAUUUGAAGAUUGCGUCUUGGAGGCGACCGUGUCUAUGUUCCUUGGAACAGGACGUCACAGAGGGUGAGAAUCCCGUGCGGCACGGCCCCCGGCUCCUUAUAAGGCGCUCUCGACGAGUCGAGUUGUUUGGGAAUGCAGCUCAAAGUGGGUGGUAAAUUCCAUCUAAAGCUAAAUACAGGCGAGAGACCGAUAGCGAACAAGUACAGUGAUGGAAAGAUGAAAAGCACUUUGAAAAGAGAGUGAAACAGCACGUGAAAUUGUUGAAAGGGAAGGGCAUGCCGUCAGAUUGUCAGUGUGGGUAAGAAGCGGGGUACAAAGACUGUGGAACGUGGCCCUCGGGUGUUAUAGCCGCAGUUCAUGCCCCGUCUCUUUCCGAGGCCUGCUUUGAGGACACCGACGUAAUGACGGUACGC
rnacentral:rRNA from 1 species